rnacentral:rRNA from 1 species
GACGGAGGAUGCAAGUGUUAUCCGGAAUCACUGGGCGUAAAGCGUCUGUAGGUGGUUUAAUAAGUCAACUGUUAAAUCUUGAGGCUCAACCUCAAAAUCGCAGUCGAAACUAGUAGGCUAGAGUAUAGUAGGGGUAAAGGGAAUUUCCAGUGGAGCGGUGAAAUGCGUAGAGAUUGGAAAGAACACCGAUGGCGAAGGCACUUUACUGGGCUAUUACUAACACUCAGAGACGAAAGCUAGGGUAGCAAAUGGG